rnacentral:rRNA from 1 species
CCUACGGGAGGCAGCAGUGAGGAAUAUUGGUCAAUGGACGAGAGUCUGAACCAGCCAAGUAGCGUGAAGGAUGACUGCCCUAUGGGUUGUAAACUUCUUUUAUAUGGGAAUAAAACGUUCCACGUGUGGGAUUUUGUAUGUACCAUAUGAAUAAGGCUCGGCUAACUCCGUGCCAGCAGCCGCGGUAAUACGGAGGAUCCGAGCGUUAUCCGGAUUUAUUGGGUGUAAAGGGAGCGUAGGUGGAUUGUUAAGUCAGUUGUGAAAGUUUGAGGCUGAACCGUAAAAUUGCAGUUGAAACUGGCAGUCUUGAGUACAGUAGAGGUGGGCGGAAUUCGUGGUGUAGCGGUGAAAUGCUUAGAUAUCACGAAGAACUCCGAUUGCGAAGGCAGUUCACUGGACUGCAACUGACACUGAGGCUCGAAAGUGUGGGUAUCAAACAGGAUUAGAUACCCUUGUAGUC